UGCAUCGGCCGGGAAUCGAACCCGGGGCGCCCGCGUGGCAGGCGAGCAUUCUACCAUUGAACCACCGAAGC
rnacentral:tRNA from 1 species